rnacentral:rRNA from 1 species
AACGAACGCUGGCGGCAGGCUUAACACAUGCAAGUCGAACGCAUCCUUCGGGGUGAGUGGCAGACGGGUGAGUAACGCGUGGGAACGUGCCCUUCAGUUCGGGAUAACCCAGGGAAACUUGGGCUAAUACCGGAUACGUGCGAGAGCAGAAAGAUUUAUCGCUGAAGGAUCGGCCCGCGUCUGAUUAGCUAGUUUGUGGGGUAAUGGCCCACCAAGGCGACGAUCAGUAGCUGGUCUGAGAGGAUGAUCAGCCACAUUGGCACUGAGACACGGCCCAAACUCCUACGGGAGGCAGCAGUGGGGAAUAUUGGACAAUGGGCGCAAGCCUGAUCCAGCCAUGCCGCGUGAGUGAUGAAGGCCUUAGGGUUGUAAAGCUCUUUCGUCCGGGACGAUAAUGACGGUACCGGAAGAAGAAGCCCCGGCUAACUUCGUGCCAGCAGCCGCGGUAA